rnacentral:rRNA from 1 species
AUUGAACGCUGGCGGCAGGCCUAACACAUGCAAGUCGAACGAGUGGCGGACGGGUGAGAAAUGUCGGGGAAACUGCCCGAUGGAGGGGGAUAACAACUGGAAACGGUAGCAAAUCCCGAAUACCAUCGGAGGUGCACAGAUUGGAUUGGCUAGUGGGUGGGGUAACGGCUCACCUAGGCGACGAUCCCUAGCUGGUCUGAGAGGAUGACCAGCCACACUGGAACUGAGACACGGUCCAGACUCCUACGGGAGGCAGCAGUGGGGAAUAUUGCACAAUGGGCGCAAGCCUGAUGCAGCCAUGCCGCGUGUAUGAAGAAGGCCUUCGGGUUGUAAAGUACUUUCAGCGAGGAGGCGUUACUCGCAGAAGAAGCACCGGCUAACUCCGUGCCAGCAGCCGCGGUAAUUC